CACUUCGCCAUUCCUCUCAUCCUCACCCCAGCGCCGCUCCGCCUCGAUCUUCCUCCUCCUGCUACCUCACCAUCAAGCGCUCCUCCUCCUCCUCUUCUCCAUCCACCUCACCACCUAGCCACUUCCCGGCUGCCAAAGCUGGCGGGGGAAAUUCUGGCAGCGUUGGUGUGUGUGUUUGCUGCCGCGGCCUGCUUGGGCGGCUCACGGGGGCCGGAGCGGAGUACCGGUGCCGUGGUGGUGGAGCCCCUUGUCACGCCCCGGGCAUACCCGCCGGUGGUCGUUACUCCUGGCGGGAUCUAGACUGGCCCACAGAUCAAUACUAGUCUUUUCUGCGCACUUUGUUCUCACUCAUGCGUACCCGGGAGCAACUUCCUGGUCGGUCACCCAUCCUGAAACUACUCCAAACUGAACACGCUUAAUUUUGGAGUUCUGUCCGAAUGGGCUCCCGGAAAAGAAGAAAUUCCUUAUUGAUAUGAGUAGUGUUCCUAAUAAGCCAGGCUAUCACACCCCUCCCGGUGGCUGGCUGGGAGCAACGGCGGGCUGCGGGGCUGGCGUGCAGUGGCGGCUCGGUUGCUUGCCAGAUCUGGCGGCCGGCUAGCACGCUCGGGGGCUGGUUGGACCUAUGGCGGAAGCGAGGGAGGAGGUCUGGUGGUGCUGCUCGUUUGCCGGUGGCGGAAGGAUUCUGGGGCGGCUCGGGUGAAAUCACCAAGGUUUCUCUUCCGUGAGCUCUUCUCUGUACCAUCCUUGGCCAUCUCUAUAUGAAUCAGGUUGGGCACACCAUGGCUGCACCAAUUUUUUUUCUGUACCUCCAGAUCGGCUCUUCUCCUUCUUCAGGAUUAUUAUAGCUCAAAUGGCAUCUCAAAUUUUUUUCUGUGUACCUUUGGAUCGGCUAAUUUUUUCUGUGUAUCUUCAGAUCAGCCCUCUCUCCUUCUUUAGGAUUAUUAGGACUGGUUGGACCUAUGGCGGAAGCGAGGGAGGAGGUCUGGUGGUGCUGCUCAUUUGCCGGUGGCGGAAGGAUUCUGGGGCGGCUCGGGUGAAAUCACCAAGUUUUCUCUUCCAUCAGCCCUCUCUCCUUCUUUAGGAUUAUUAGGACUUGGGUAGGUGUAUGCGCUGGGGCCGGCGACGAGUGGCGGCAUGGUAAGGGUGCGGCGCGCUAGAGGUGGAAGAUGGGAUUGGAGCGUGGGUCGUGCGGCUAGGGAGCCGCCAUCCUCCCGGCAAGGCUAGGACCGGCGGAGGCCGAGCGGCGGACUGGUUUGGUUUGUGGUGGUCGUCGACUCGCCGGAGAGGGGCGAGGUGGUGGUCGUCGACUCACCGGAGAGGGAGGGGGGAGUGUUGGGGAACGCAGUAAUUUCAAAAAAAAUCCUACGAACACACAAGAUCUAUCUGGGAGAUGCAUAGCAACGAGAGGGGAGAGUGUGUCCACGUA